GAUGAAGAACGCAGCGAAAUGCGAUAAGUAAUGUGAAUUGCAGAAUUCAGUGAACCAUCGAAUCUUUGAACGCACAUUGCGCCCCCUGGUAUUCCGGGGGGCAUGCCUGUUCGAGCGUCAUUUCACCACUCAAGCCUCGCUUGGUAUUGGGCAACGCGGUCCGCCGCGUGCCUCAAAUCGACCGGCUGGGUCUUCUGUCCCCUAAGCGUUGUGGAAACUAUUCGCUAAAGGGUGUUCGGGAGGCUACGCCGUAAAACAACCCCAUUUCUAAGGUUGACCUCGGAUCAGGUAGGGAUACCCGCUGAACUUAAGCAUAUCAAUAAGCGGAGGA
rnacentral:misc_RNA from 1 species